rnacentral:rRNA from 1 species
GAUGAACGCUGGCGGCGUGCCUAAUACAUGCAAGUCGAGCGAACAGACGAGGAGCUUGCUCCUCUGACGUUAGCGGCGGACGGGUGAGUAACACGUGGAUAACCUACCUAUAAGACUGGGAUAACUUCGGGAAACCGGAGCUAAUACCGGAUAAUAUAUUGAACCGCAUGGUUCAAUAGUGAAAGACGGUUUUGCUGUCACUUAUAGAUGGAUCCGCGCCGCAUUAGCUAGUUGGUAAGGUAACGGCUUACCAAGGCAACGAUGCGUAGCCGACCUGAGAGGGUGAUCGGCCACACUGGAACUGAGACACGGUCCAGACUCCUACGGGAGGCAGCAGUAGGGAAUAUUGCACAAUGGGCGGAAGCCUGAUGCAGCAACGCCGCGUGCGGGAUGACGGCCUUCGGGUUGUAAACCGCUUUCGCCUGUGACGAAGCGUGAGUGACGGUAAUGGGUAAAGAAGCACCGGCUAACUACGUG